rnacentral:misc_RNA from 1 species
GAUGAAGAACGUAGCGAAAUGCGAUAAGUAGUGUGAAUUGCAGAAUUCAGUGAAUCAUCGAAUCUUUGAACGCACAUUGCGCCCCUUGGUAUCCCGAGGGGCAUGCCUGUUCGAGCGUCAUUUCACCACUCAAGCCUGGCUUGGUGUUGGGCGACGUCCUCUUUGGGGACGCGCCUCGAAACGCUCGGCGGCGUGGCACCGGCUUUAAGCGUAGCAGAAUCUUUCGCUUUGGAAGUCGGGGCCCCGUCUGCCGGAAGACCUGCUCGCAAGGUUGACCUCGGAUCAGGCAGGGAUACCCGCUGAACUUAAGCAUAUCAAUCAGCGGAGGA